AAAGGUAAGCUACUAAGAGCGAAUGGUGGAUGCCUUGACUGGUAAAGGCGAUGAAGGACGUACUAGACUGCGAUAAGCUACGGGGAGCUGUCAAGAAGCUUUGAUCCGUAGAUUUCCGAAUGGGUCAACCCAAUGUAUAGAGAUAUACAUUACCUAUAUAGGAGCGAACGAGGGGAAUUGAAACAUCUUAGUACCCUCAGGAAAAGAAAUCAAUAGAGAUUGCGUCAGUAGCGGCGAGCGAAAGCGCAAGAGGGCAAACCCAGUGCUUGCACUGGGGGUUGUAGGACUGCAAUGUGCAAGAGGUAAGUUUAGCAGAACAUUCUGGAAAGUAUAACCAUAGAGGGUGAUAGUCCCGUAUGCGAAAAACAAACCUUAGCUAGCAGUAUCCUGAGUAGGGCGGGACACGAGGAAUCCUGUCUGAAUCCGGGUCGACCACGAUCCAACCCUAAAUACUAAUACCAGAUCGAUAGUGCACAAGUACCGUGAGGGAAAGGUGAAAAGAACUGAGGUGAUCAGAGUGAAAUAGAACCUGAAA
rnacentral:rRNA from 1 species